GUGCCAGGUGAAUUUUUGCUGCAGUUGGCAUGGGGCAUUCUUAUUGCUUCUGCUAAGUAGCAGCGAUGAAAAUAGUGCAUUUAAUGCAACAGAGAUCCAAACAGUAAGUGUUCUUUUUUCAUGUUUUUUUGAGGCUGAUGUACGUAAGUAACAUAUACAAAGCUGAAAACAUUGGUUCGAAAGUACAAAAUCACCCUGUAGCACCUUGUGUUGAAGAUGCCAGCAACUGGUCACGUUAAUGCACUAUAAAGCAGAAAAAAAAGAAGUAGAACACCUAAUAGCACACUCUGAGACUUGAAGUCUUGCUGCAUUUUAUAGUGGAUGGUGUAGAGAGUCUCUGGAAAGCAAAGAAAAUACCAAUACAGGCCAAAUUGUCAUAUGCUUCUCAGCAUGGCUCCACGGAUGCUACUGCUUUCCCUGCUAUGAGGUGUAGAAAAUACCAUGGGUUACAUAAGGAUAAAUGUUUAGGAUGUUUCAGUUUCUAGGUGUUGCUAGUCCUUUAGGAUGUAUGUCUAAAGACAAUGACAACAUCUAUUUGGGUGUAAAUGUGGCACAGUGUGGUGCUGAAUCAGCGACUGUUAUACUUUUGUAUGUGAAACAACAUACGCUAUAAUACAGAUGCUAAAUGCCUUAACCUCAGGGUGCCUUUGUUUUAUUCUGUUUACUGCUGUAAACUGCUUUUUGGUCGCUAGAAUGUGAGCAUGCUGGCAGUACAUCGGAAAGAGACACCAUGAAAUCAAUAUGUUUCAAGUGUCUUUUCCUAUCCAAAUUAUAGGAGCAUUACUCCAGAAGUAUAAAUAGUAAUACCCCACAACUUGCCACUCUGCUCGCUUGAUAUAAAUAUGAAUGCAUUCACCUCACAGAGCUGUUGCAGGGCACGUUGGCUAAUGUGUACACACUACGGAAAAGUUCUAUUUACAAGUUUUUAACAAGCCAGUUGUCUCGUAUGACUGGCUAAUCCUCUACGUGUAACCUUGCUGAUGAAAGAGGAAGCUUCCCUUGUUGUGAUGAGGAGCAUGUAAAUUAUUGAUGUUUGCCUGAGCCGUUAGUGCUGUGGGGCUCGCGACGACAAGGCACCCAGGAUGAACAGUGGCAGCUAGUACCUGCAAAAUGGACUACUACUACCUUUCACGGUGCUUUAAAUGUUUUGGGACAGUCUGGGCAGCAGAGACAUCGGGUUCUAUAGCAGUCAUUGCUACCCCUUUCAACUACAGGCAGCUAAAAACAGCUGGAGGGCUGCAGAGUUUCCUAUGGCUUAUAUGUAAUAUGGUGUGGAUGGUCUGUGCUGUGAGUGCUGCAUACAAAGGCAUUGCUUCUACAGGAUCUGCCACAGUACAGGAAACAGGAUACUGCCUUGUUUAUCUCUUCCUCCAAACCUGUCUGCCCCUGAACUGGAGCUCUUUAACUCUGCAAAAUUAAAUGUGCCUCCAUUUCUGCCCCUUGUACCCUAUUUGCAUCAGGGAGUUCCAGCAAGUUUCUUUUUACUGUAUUUUGCCCAAUAUAAGAAUUGUCAUGCAUUUGGUAAAUGCAUUUUCUACUUAGGAAAGAACUGAAAAAAAAAA